rnacentral:rRNA from 1 species
GUCGGCUCAUCACAUCCUGGGGCUGUAGUAGGUCCCAAGGGUUGGGCUGUUCGCCCAUUAAAGUGGUACGCGAGCUGGGUUCAGAACGUCGUGAGACAGUUCGGUCCCUAUCCGUCGCAGGCGUAGGCAAUUUGAGAAGACCUGUCCUUAGUACGAGAGGACCGGGAUGGACGUACCUCUGGUGUACCAGUUGUUCUGCCAAGGGCAUGGCUGGGUAGCUAUGUACGGAAUGGAUAAGCGCUGAAAGCAUCUAAGCGCGAAGCCAACUUCAAGAUAAGAUUUCCCACCGCAAGGGUAAGACCCCAGAAAGACUAUCUGGUUGAUAGGUCGAAGGUGUAAGUGCAGCAAUGUAUUUAGCUUAUAGAUACUAAUAGGUCGAGGACUUGACCAAAUU